rnacentral:rRNA from 1 species
AGCGAACGCUGGCGGCAGGCUUAACACAUGCAAGUCGAACGAAGCCUUCGGGCUUAGUGGCGGACGGGUGAGUAACACGUGGGAACGUACCUUUUGGUUCGGAACAACACAGGGAAACUUGUGCUAAUACCGAAUGAGCCCUUAGGGGGAAAGAUUUAUCGCCAUUAGAGCGGCCCGCGUUGGAUUAGCUAGUAGGUGGGUAAAGGCCCACCAAGGCUACGAUCCAUAGCUGGUCUGAGAGGAUGAUCAGCCACACUGGGACUGAGACUCGGCCCAGACUCCUACGGGAGGCAGCAGUGGGGAAUCUUGCGCAAUGGGCGAGAGCCUGACGCAGCCAUGCCACGUGAAUGAUGAAGGUCUUAGGAUUGUAAAAUUCUUUUACCAGGGACGAUAAUGACGGUACCUGGAGAAAAAGCUCCGGCUAACUUCGUGCCAGCCGCCGCAGUAA